rnacentral:rRNA from 1 species
CCUCCGUUGUGUAAUAAGUGGCGCUGAGCGAUCAGCGGCCAUUCGAUUCACAAGACUGACUGCGGUUAGCAGUCGGAAGUUGGAGGCAAUAACAGGUCUGUGAUGCCCUUAGAUGUUCUGGGCUGCACGCGCGCUACACUGACAUGGUCAGCAAGUAUACCUUGGCCGAGAGGUCUGGGGAAUCUGCAAAGCAUGUCGUGCUGGGGAUAGAUCAUUGCAAUUAUUGGUCUUGAACGAGGAAUUCCUAGUAAGCGCAAGUCAUCAGCUUGCGUUGAUUACGUCCCUGCCCUUUGUACACACCGCCCGUCGCUACUACCGAUUGAAUGGCUUAGUGAGGUCUCCGGAUCGGGUGGGGGGAGCAAUCCCCUCAUCUGAAAAGUUGAACAAACUUGGUCAUUUAGAGGAAGUAAAAGUCG